rnacentral:rRNA from 1 species
CGAACGGUAACAGGCCUUCGGGCGCUGACGAGUGGCGGACGGGUGAGUAACGCGUAGGAAUCUGCCUCAUAGUGGGGGACAACGUGGGGAAACCCACGCUAAUACCGCAUACGCCCUACGGGGGAAAGCGGGGGAUCUUCGGACCUCGCGCUAUGAGAUGAGCCUGCGUUAGAUUAGCUAGUUGGUAGGGUAAAGGCCUACCAAGGCGACGAUCUAUAGCUGGUCUGAGAGGACGAUCAGCCACACUGGGACUGAGACACGGCCCAGACUCCUACGGGAGGCAGCAGUGGGGAAUAUUGGACAAUGGGCGAAAGCCUGAUCCAGCAAUACCGCGUGUGUGAAGAAGGCCUUAGGGUUGUAAAGCACUUUCAAUUGGGAGGAAAACCUGCCGGUCAAUACCCGGUAGCUUGACAUUACCUUUAGAAGAAGCACCGGCUAACUCCGUGCCAGCAGCCGCGGUAAUACGGAGGGUGCGAGCGUUAAUCGGAAUUACUGGGCGUAAAGCGUGCGUAGGCGGUUCGUUAAGUCAGAUGUGAAAGCCCUGGGCUCAACCUGGGAACUGCAUUUGAAACUGGCGGACUAGAGUUUAGUAGAGGGGAGUGGAAUUUCAGGUGUAGCGGUGAAAUGCGUAGAUAUCUGAAGUAACACCAGUGGCGAAGGCGACUCCCUGGACUAGAACUGACGCUGAGGUACGAAAGCGUGGGUAGCAAACAGGAUUAGAUACCCUGGUAGCCCACGCCGUAAACGAUGUCGACUAGCCGUUGGCCCUAUUUACAGGGCUAGUGGCGCAGCUAACGCAUUAAGUCGACCGCCUGGGGAGUACGGCCGCAAGGUUAAAACUCAAAUGAAUUGACGGGGGCCCGCACAAGCGGUGGAGCAUGUGGUUUAAUUCGAUGCAACGCGAAGAACCUUACCUACCCUUGACAUCCAGAGAAUCUGUUAGAGAUAGUAGAGUGCCUUCGGGAGCUCUGAGACAGGAGCUGCAUGGCUGUCGUCAGCUCGUGUCGUGAGAUGUUGGGUUAAGUCCCGUAACGAGCGCUACCCUUGUCCUUAGUUGCCAGCGAGUAAUGUCGGGAACUCUAGGGAGACUGCCGGUGAUAAACCGGAGGAAUGUGGGGACGACGUCAAGUCAUCAUGGCCCUUAUGGGUAGGGCUACACACGUGCUACAAUGGCCGGUACAGAGGGCUGCGAACUUGCGAGAGUAAGCAAAUCCCAGAAAGCCGGUCCUAGUCCGGAUUGGAGUCUGCAACUCGACUCCAUGAAGUCGGAAUCGCUAGUAAUCGCGAAUCAGAAUGUCGCGGUGAAUACGUUCCCGGGCCUUGUGCACACCGCCCGUCACACCAUGGGAGUGGGUUGCAAAAGAAGUGGGUAGUCUAACCUUCGGGAGGGCGCUCACCACUUUGUGAUUCAUGACUGGGGUGAAGUCGUAACAAGGUA